rnacentral:tRNA from 2 species
AGAGACAUAGCGAAGCGGUCAAACGCGGCAGACUCAAGAUCUGUUGAUUAGUUCUUCAGGGGUUCGAAUCCCCUUGUCUCUA